rnacentral:lncRNA from 1 species
CUAAAAAGACUGAAAAUUCUCUGCAUCAUUCUUGAUUAAAACUGCUUGGAAUUACACUUUGUUUGCACUGUUAGAGUAAUUUUAACAACUCAAAGGUUUCCUGGUUGAUCUGGGUUUGAAAUUUUUUUUAACGAAGUCGAAUUUACUGUUGUUGAUUUGCUUAUUUGCACUAUUCUAUUGCUGCUAAAUUUCCUCAUCUUCUUUUGCUCUAAUUUCUGCACCCAGGUACUUCUUGGACCCUAUGAAUGUGAAAAAUGCAAGUUUGAAGCAAUGUAAUCGAUUGGAGAUUUCAGGAUGAAUAAUAGUUUACUUUUAGUGAAUGUUAGCUUGCAUCUUUUAGAAGGUUUCUGUUACUUAGUGUAUUUAUGUUUUAUUUUAUUAAUUCAUGUCAUUAGAGCUAUAUCUCAUAUAAGGGUUGGAUUUUGGGUUCUAGUUAUGACUUAUUUUGUAGAAAAACUAUUCUUGUUGAAUACCUAGUACCUAAGCAGUCAUGAACUGAGUUUUCUUUCAUUUAAAGUUGUUACGUAUAUUGGAUGUCUCAUAUUUAGGAGUAUGAAAUGAGAAAGUGCACCUGGUUGGUUCACCUGGAAUUUUAUUAGCUUUUGAAAAGGUUUCCUACGAUUAUGG